rnacentral:rRNA from 1 species
CGCAGUAGGAUAGGCGAAGCGUGCGAUUGGAUUGCACGUCUAAGCAGUAAGGCUGAGUAUUAGGCAAAUCCGGUACUCAUUAAGGCUGAGCUGUGAUGGGGAGAAGACAUUGUGUCUUCGAGUCGUUGAUUUCACACUGCCGAGAAAAGCCUCUAGAUAGAAAAUAGGUGCCCGUACCGCAAACCGACACAGGUAGUCAAGAUGAGAAUUCUAAGGUGAGCGAGCGAACUCUCGUUAAGGAACUCGGCAAAAUGACCCCGUAACUUCGGGAGAAGGGGUGCUCUUUAGGGUUAACGCCCAGAAGAGCCGCAGUGAAUAGGCCCAAGCGACUGUUUAUCAAAAACACAGGUCUCUGCUAAACCGUAAGGUGAUGUAUAGGGGCUGACGCCUGCCCGGUGCUGGAAGGUUAAGAGGAGUGGUUAGCUUCUGCGAAGCUACGAAUCGAAGCCCCAGUAAACGGCGGCCGUAACUAUAACGGUCCUAAGGUAGCGAAAUUCCUUGUCGGGUAAGUUCCGACCCGCACGAAAGGCGUAACGAUUUGGGCACUGUCUCAACGAGAGACUCGGUGAAAUCAUAGUACCUGUGAAGAUGCAGGUUACCCGCGACAGGACGGAAAGACCCCGUGGAGCUUUACUGUAGCCUGAUAUUGAAAUUCGGCACAGCUUGUACAGGAUAGGUAGGAGCCUUUGAAACGUGAGCGCUAGCUUACGUGGAGGCGCUGGUGGGAUACUACCCUAGCUGUGUUGGCUUUCUAACCCGCACCACUUAUCGUGGUGGGAGACAGUGUCAGGCGGGCAGUUUGACUGGGGCGGUCGCCUCCUAAAAGGUAACGGAGGCGCUCAAAGGUUCCCUCAGAAUGGUUGGAAAUCAUUCAUAGAGUGUAAAGGCAUAAGGGAGCUUGACUGCGAGACCUACAAGUCGAGCAGGGUCGAAAGACGGACUUAGUGAUCCGGUGGUUCCGCAUGGAAGGGCCAUCGCUCAACGGAUAAAAGCUACCCCGGGGAUAACAGGCUUAUCUCCCCCAAGAGUUCACAUCGACGGGGAGGUUUGGCACCUCGAUGUCGGCUCAUCGCAUCCUGGGGCUGUAGUCGGUCCCAAGGGUUGGGCUGUUCGCCCAUUAAAGCGGUACGCGAGCUGGGUUCAGAACGUCGUGAGACAGUUCGGUCCCUAUCCGUCGUGGGCGUAGGAAAUUUGAGAGGAGCUGUCCUUAGUACGAGAGGACCGGGAUGGACAUACCUCUGGUGUACCAGUUGUCGUGCCAACGGCAUAGCUGGGUAGCUAUGUGUGGACGGGAUAAGUGCUGAAAGCAUCUAAGCAUGAAGCCCCCCUCAAGAUGAGAUUUCCCAACUUCGGUUAUAAGAUCCCUCAAAGAUGAUGAGGUUAAUAGGUUCGAGGUGGAAGCAUGGUGACAUGUGGAGCUGACGAAUACUAA